AGAAGGGGGACACGUUUGGUUUUGGAAUACGUGGUGAAUGGGAAUCAGAAUACAAUGCUGGCUCCUCCUGCAGGCUCUUUGUCACUCACAAUGGGACGGAGGUCAAGUAUGAAGGAAAUCCAGAGGACUUGAUGUUCAACAGGUUCUACUACCCUUGUCUUGCCAUCAAUAGCCACUGUACUUGUCAGUUCAAAUUGCCACAUCUUCUCUCUCCACCAGUGGACUUGAUGAACGCCUAUAAAAAGGAACAAAGAUGGAUCCGCCACUGUUAUACUGAUUUUUGUGUGAUCAAUAACAAUGGAAU